GCGUGUAAUACCUGAAACACAGGCCGUGUUUCUGUCCUGCUGCUGGCGUGGGGACAGACAGAAGGGCUCUGUGUUGGCCCUGCGAGCUGUGAAGCAGUAGCAGGGCUUUCGGUGAGCGCUUACGGACCUGCGGGCAGUGUGGGCACGUGUUCUGGCAGAAGUUUAGCCGUAACCCCUGCCAUCUGAAAUUCAGUACUCCCUAGGAAGUUGUCUUGGAACCAGACAGAAAACAAGCAGAGCCCACUAGCAUUUGCAUGGAUUGGACUAACUACAAAGGCUACUCACUGUGCUGGACAGGACACAGCACAGCCAAAUCUUACAGCCAGACAUAGACAGCUCAUGUCAGUGUGAAGGCACUUUCUGUUUCACAAUACAACACAGCUAUAUGAGAGUCAGAUGAUUUUAAAAACAAAGACUGAAAGAUGGUGUUUAGCUUGAGCUACAGAGUAUGUGCAAACUUCAAACUGUUUGCCUUGUUGUUUUUGAUCUCCAUUGUUAUUGAAACAUUAGUCAUUGCUCUAACUGACUACAAAUAUUUAUUUAUUUAUAGCACAACCAGUGUAAACUAUGGACAUGGGUGUAGUUUGUCUCUUGUAAGGACUCAAAAGUCCUUAAGAAAAGGAAAAAUAACUAAGCAGUAUAAAAACUGUCAUUUUGGGAGAAAAUACCGGGGUUUAAAACAAGGGGGGAGGAGAUAUUUAUGUUCACAGAUAAUCCUCUUGUGCAGAUGGAUUUUGUGACUUCAGAUGAAUGCAUGUUGGCAUGGAAGAGUAUCUUCUAGGUGCCAGUACAGGGACUAAUUGAUAGACUGAAAGUUUCCACAUAUGACAUCCUUCACAAGCUUAUCUGUAUUUAUUAUGUACAUUAAUGUGCAUUUGCCAGGAAGGUUGAAAGCAGAUUCCCUGUUACAAUGAACUCGGCAUACCAAAGGGGAGGGAGCUCUGGAGAGAGUGACUUUGAAGACUUGUGGUGCAAGACACUAAUAAUACAAUCUUCUGCCAGACUACUGAAGCAAGUAGCAUGAUACUUUAAUUUCUCAUUUGUUAUGGAAAAUUGGCAUGAUGCUUGUACUGUCCUAUAGAAUUGACAUACUACUUUACAUGAAAUUUUAAAAAUUCAGAAGGAAUCAUCUCAAGCUUUGGGUUUGACUUUGUUCCUUGUUUGAACCCUGAUAUGAUUGGCUUAAUCCUCUUUUACCAGAGGAACAAAAAUUUUCUUUUAUCUUGGAGGGGCAACA